rnacentral:rRNA from 1 species
UAGGGAAUCUUCCGCAAUGGACGCAAGUCUGACGGAGCAACGCCGCGUGAGUGAAGAAGGAUUUCGGUUCGUAAAACUCUGUUGUUAGAGAAGAACAGCGCAUAGAGUAACUGUUAUGCGUGUGACGGUAUCUAACCAGAAAGCCACGGCUAACUACGUGCCAGCAGCCGCGGUAAUACGUAGGUGGCAAGCGUUGUCCGGAUUUAUUGGGCGUAAAGCGAGCGCAGGCGGUCAAUUAAGUCUGAUGUGAAAGCCCCCGGCUCAACCGGGGAGGGUCAUUGGAAACUGGUUGACUUGAGUGCAGAAGAGGAGAGUGGAAUUCAAUGUGUAGCGGUGAAAUGCGUAGAUAUAUGGAGGAACACCAGUGGCGAAGGCGACUCUCUGGUCUGUAACUGACGCUGAGGCUCGAAAGCGUGGGUAGCAAACAGG